UACGUAGGGUGCAAGCGUUAAUCGGAAUUACUGGGCGUAAAGCGUGCGCAGGCGGUGAUGUAAGACAGUUGUGAAAUCCCCGGGCUCAACCUGGGAACUGCAUCUGUGACUGCAUUGCUGGAGUGCGGCAGAGGGGGAUGGAAUUCCGGCGUGUAGCAGUGAAAUGCGUAGAUAUGCGGAGGAACACCGAUGGCGAAGGCAGUCCCCGUGGGCCUGUACUGACGCUCAUGCACGAAAGCGUGGGGAGCAAACAGG
rnacentral:rRNA from 1 species